GAUAACAGGUUGAUGACUCCCAAGAGCUCUUAUCGACGGAAUCGUUUGGAACCUCGAUGUCGACUCAUCAUAUCCAGGGGUUGAAGAAGGUCCCAAGGGUUCGGUUGUUCGCCGAUUCAAGUGGUACGCGAGUUGGGAUUAGACUC
rnacentral:ncRNA from 1 species